GGACGAACGCUGGCGGCGUGCCUAAUACAUGCAAGUCGAACGAACGGAGGAAGAGCUUGCUCUUCCAAAGUUAGUGGCGGACGGGUGAGUAACACGUGGGCAACCUGCCUGUAAGUUGGGGAUAACUCCGGGAAACCGGGGCUAAUACCGAAUGAUAAAGUGUGGCGCAUGCCACGCUUUUGAAAGAUGGUUUCGGCUAUCGCUUACAGAUGGGCCCGCGGUGCAUUAGCUAGUUGGUAGGGUAAUGGCCUACCAAGGCAACGAUGCAUAGCCGACCUGAGAGGGUGAUCGGCCACACUGGGACUGAGACACGGCCCAGACUCCUACGGGAGGCAGCAGUAGGGAAUCUUCCGCAAUGGACGAAAGUCUGACGGAGCAACGCCGCGUGUAUGAAGAAGGUUUUCGGAUCGUAAAGUACUGUUGUUAGAGAAGAACAAGGAUAAGAGUAACUGCUUGUCCCUUGACGGUAUCUAACCAGAAAGCCACGGCUAA
rnacentral:rRNA from 1 species